rnacentral:rRNA from 1 species
GACGUAGGGGACGAGCGUUGUCCGGAUUCAUUGGGCGUAAAGAGCGCGUAGGCGGUCCGAUAAGUCGGCUGUGAAAGUCAGGGGCUCAACCCUUGAAAGCCGGCCGAUACUGUCGGACUAGAGUCCGGAAGAGGCAAGUGGAAUUCCCGGUGUAGCGGUGAAAUGCGCAGAUAUCGGGAGGAACACCAACGGCGAAGGCAGCUUGCUGGGACGGUACUGACGCUGAGGCGCGAAAGCGUGGGGAGCAAACAGG